GCCAAAUUUAUUACGGCGUGGUUUCAGUGAGAACCACUUCGCGAUGCUGUGAAUUUCCGGUAUAGAGAGGCGCAUGCGCAAUCGGUCAACUAUUAAUCUCGACAGUCGAUAAUGGUAAUUCAAAUGGAUAGAGAUUACAGGUUUAGGGGAUAGAGCUGCGGAAAUUUGAUGCUAAUGAAGGAAAUUGCGUAGAUGCCCUUGCCUAAGGUUCUUCUAUAUUCCAUUCCUCUCAUGAUCAACGCUUGAAGCCAACGGGAGUCAAUUGCUUCACUCUUCUAUGAAUAUACUCUCCAUUCUCUUUUACACUAUUAAUGUGGCGACAGUAAAAACUUCGGACGACAGCCAGCUGCCACCAAAGAAAUUGGCUGACACGUUAUUCGCUCGCUUGCCUCCGAACAAUCUACACCCAUAUAAAUGAAAGCAGUUAAUUCUUUCUCAGAAAAGCUUUUCAACAAUAUUUUAAUCACCAAUGUUUGCAAAACUGAACCGCAGGAAUGAAAAAAAAAACAUCUGAAACGAAAAGAAAAAUGUUCCUUGUUAUAA